rnacentral:rRNA from 1 species
AUCGCCUCCUUGUUCAUGCUUAUGUCUUGGGAGAUUUGGAAAGAGCAUAACGCAAGAGUCUUUCGCAACACUGCCGCUACAACGAUGAUGGUCAUCGAGAAGAUCAAAGAGGAUGCCCAUCUUUGGGCUAUGGCAGGUGCCACCCACUUGAGUAUUGUAAUACCGCGAGAGUAG